rnacentral:lncRNA from 1 species
AUACAUAUGCAUCAUAAAUCAAUUCUUACCUGUGCGUCCACCGCACCAAUUCAUACAUAUGCAUCAUAUAUUAAUUCAUGCAUGGCAUUUCAAUUCACAUUUCUAUAUACUUUUCAUAUCAAUUCUAUGCAUGGUAUUUCACUUCCCGUUUUUCCACAUAACUCAUAUGCAUUUCAUUUUAAACAUAUUUUCAUUUCAAUUCAAUUUCUGGGAAACGUCAAGUAUAUAUAUAUACGGAAAACAAAACUGCCCACUCACCUGGAGUUCGUCCAACAACUCCCUAGCACCACACAUCAAGGCGUCACGACGAUCGCCGCCUAGAAUAGUAAUCAAAUCCAACCUCAGAAUUCAUAUCGAUAGAAUAUAUAACUUAUAUAAAAUACGUCACUACGUAGUUCGAUCCGAAAGAUCUGCCACUCAGAUUUUAAAUCCAUAACUUCCAGAGGUCCACAAUAUAUCUCUAGGAUAACCUCCUAAAAUUUCAUUACCAUCCAACGGUCGGAUCUCCGUAAAUUUCCAAAACAAUUCCAAUUCCGGAAGAUCCGUAACUCGGAUUCCCAAUCCGUAAGUUCCAAUAAUCCUCAAAUAUUACGUAUUACAACGUAUCAAAGUUUGGUAACGAUCCAACGGUCGGAUCGUCAAUUCACAUUUUUACCUAAAUGUGAAAACUAUAAAACGUUAUUCGAACACCUAACCAACAAUCCUUAAUAACUUUCUCAUACGGUGCUCAAUUUGGGUAUAUGAAUAUACCACGGUGAUCUACUCGACGUCACGGACGUCGACAUAUUUUUAAAAUAAUUUUAUUUUUAUUUUUUUACUGUAGCACCUUCUUCUUCCUUGGGUCGCCGGACUGGUUUUUCCGGCGGCCGUUUUCCGGGCAGUUUUUCAAAUUUCCAUAACUUUGUCAUUUCUCAACGAAAUCAAGUGAUUCAAAAACGAGAGUUGUAGCCCUUGAAGAGACAAAGAGAAUGGUACCUUUCACAACACCUAGUUCGCCGUGGUUUGGCCGGAAACUGCCUCGAAAGCCUCGGAGGUCGCCGGAAACUGGGUAUUUUUCAAAUGAGUAUAACUUCUUCAAUACUCAACGAAAUUGAGUGAAACAAAAAGGAAAGUUGUAGUACUUGACGAGACGAAGAUAUUUAUACCUACCUCGACUCCUAACUCGCAGGGGAUUCGCCGGAAAAAGCCUCGAAAGCUCCGGCCAAACUUUGAACUUGUCGAUCUCCGUGUUCUUACGUCCAAAAACUUCCAACGAAGCACUCCGAGCUUCCUUGGGACUUCCUAAAGCUCACUAUGAGCUUGGUUUGGCCUAAAACACGACCAAUUCAAAGCUCAUGAACAGUACACAUUCACGGCAACUUUAGAAACUAGGGUUUUCGAAGUGAAACUUACUUGAAAUGGGUAUCAUCGUGAUCGUAUGGUCUUCAGGAGUACGAUGGCACUCUUAAAUCCGUCGUUGGUGGAAGUUUAGGGUGUUUUUGUGGUGGUCUUGGUGGUUGCCGUGUGUUCGAGAGGGUGAGAGAGAGAGAGAGAUCUGAAAUGGAAGAAGAAGAGAGAGAAGGGAAAGGUUACGGGUUUUAGGGAGUGUUUUGAGGUAUGAGGAUCCCACCUUAACCCAAACACAACAUUACAACCUAGUUUUUAGUCCCUAACACAAAUUAACCAUAGUUCAGGAACUUUAAAAAAAACAAAUGUCAUCUCUUUACACACCUUAAUCUCGUUUAAGGUCAUUUUUGAAAUUUCACGUCCUCGGAAUGAAAAAUCCCGGGACGAGCUGUGACAAUCUUCCCUCCUUAUAGAAUUUCGUCCCCGAAAUUCCAGCAACCAGCUAAAUUAACCAUACUCAUACAAUAGCCUCGGGUAAAUCUCUCUCAUCCGAUUCUCUUUCUCCCACGUAAUUUCUUCCACCGAAUAAUUUUCUUCACAAAAAACUUUUACCACUUACCCUGUUUUAAUUCUGAGGGCAUCACAAGCUUGUAAGCAACUUCACCAACUUUUCGAUAAUCACUUAAGUCCGAUUCACUUAGGAUUUAACUUACCUUCUUUCUCUACCUUGGUUAAUUCUUAAAUUUCUUCGUCAAGCAUUUAAGUUUCGAGUACGACCUUACCAAACAGGCCUAACUUGAAAUUUUAACAAGUAUAACUUCUUCUCGAUCUUCCCAUUCUUAAUUUUUCUUCCGUUGGUUUUCAAUUCACAAGAUGAUACUCUUGGCAAACGUGCCAGACAUUAAUCAUACUGUAGUCUUCUCACCAAGUGCUUCAGCUACAACAAUUCACGAUCACCCUGAUCGUACCAUCAUGUUCAUUAAGCAAUACAAUUCACCUUUGUUGCCUCAUAUCAAAAUCCUUCCGAAUAAACAAAUAUUGGAGACUCUUUUGAUUUGUAAAAUCUUGCAUUCUUUUCAACAUAUAAUGUCUCCACAACUUCACAGCAAGGAUGAUAAUCGUGACUUCCAAGUCACCAGUAGGGUAAUUCAUCUCAUUAGGUUCCAUUUGUCGUGAAACAUAUUCAAUCACCCUAACAUUUGCAUCAAUACAUCUCCAAGAAUAUUUAAUGUACCAUCACCAUAAACCAAUAAUUACCGCUAUCUUCUGGGAUUACUAAAAUACGUGCAUGAGUGAGGAAAUACUCCAGUUGUUGAAUCCUUUGCUCACAAUUUCCUUCCCACUCAUACAUAACCUCCUUUCUCAACAGUCUUGUCAAUGACAAAGCAAUGACUAAAAAUUCUUUCACAACCAUCCAAAAUAGCCUGAUAAGUUAAGAAUUUCCGAAUCUCAAUUAUGACUUGUGGUUGUUCCAAUUUCUCAAUUCUGCUGCCUUUUAAGAAUUCAUUUGAAUACCUUAAGCAGAUAUAACCAACCUCAGAAUGCCACCUGAUUCAUCUAACUUUCGCAUUUGCUAAACUUAGCAUAUAAUCGACAUUCUUCCAAUCUUUGUUCCACCGACUUAAUACAUUUACAUGCUCUGCUCUGGCUCAUAAUAUGCCAGAAUAUCUUCAACGAAAAUGAUAUCAAUUAUCAAAGCAUUAUUGGAAUACUUCAUCCAUCAACUCAUAAAACAGAAUGAGUAUCCAUAUAGCAUCACCAAACUUCAUAAAGACUAUAACAAGUCCAGAAAACUAUCUUAUGAUCAAUGUCGCUCAAAAUCUUCAAUUGGUAAUAACCAGACCUCAAUCAAUCUUUUGAAAAUACACAAAUACCUUUGAGCUGGUCAAACAAACAUCAACGCACCAUGGAUAACGGUUCUCGAUCGUUACCAAUUCCAUUGUCUAUAAUCAAUGCACAAUCUCUAAGUCCAUUUUCUUUUUCACCAACAAACUGGGGCUCCUCAAAAGUGUUGUACUAGGUUGAAUAAAACUUUUAUCAACCAAUUCUCUCAACUGAAUUUCCAAUUCCCUUAACUCAUCCUGAACCAAUCUCCAAUAUAAAUUUAUACCUGGUAACAAAUCAAUAAUGAACCUCAUAUCUCUGCCUGAAGACAAUCCAGGUAUACUUCAGGGAAGACAUCAAGAAAAGUCUAACCCCUUUUUCAUUUUUCACACUUCUCCGAGCAACAUCCUUUAGUACCACAUGAACUAAGUAUUUUUUUUUGGGCAGCCUUUCAAAACAAUCUCUUUGCUUUCACAGCAUAAAUAACGGCCUGACUCAAUCCACUUUGCAUACUUACAAAAGAAAUCCCUGGUCAUCCAGAUCGAUGGAAAAUACUGGUUUCCCGUAACAUUCCGUCUUGUCACAAUUAUAACCAACCAAUCUAAUGGAACAAAAUUAACUGAUACAAUAUAUAUUCUAUUAUUAUUAAGCAUUCUAAAUAAGUACAAUACUAACAUAAAAUAAUCUACCGGGUUGCUUGCUUAACGAAUCCACGAAUGAGUUAUUAAUAUUACGGUCUGCAGCCCGCAAAUACUGAUAAAUCAUCGUUGUCUCGAUAAGUAGGCAACCACUCUCAAAGAUAUAACAUUACUAUUUUGUCACUCAAUGCAAAAUACAUACACUCGUCUCAACUACAUUUAUUUACUACUCUCUAGGUAAUAACAUACAUAAUAAGAAAUAUAUCAGCCGAAGUCAACUAGAAUGACCAAUACGGCUGAUUCAACUCUUAUCUCAAUAAUACGUCGGUCGGAUCCACUCCGCGUGGUCGGUACGGCCGAGCCUAUAACUCACCAAUUUCUCAUGCGUCAGCCAGAUCCACCUCUCGUGGCCUGUAUGGCUGAACAUAUAACUCAUCAAAUCUCUCUGUACCCACGGUCAAUCCGACCAAACUACUAAAUCCAUAAACCUGCUGAAUCGAUACUACGAUGUCAUAGAAAACUGUUGGGUACAACUGAUUUUAGGGACGAUUCACAAUUCUGUGUCCCCUCUGUUCACAUAAACACAUUCAUUAAUUUCACACUUCCCAAAGUGUUAAUUUUGUACCUGCUGCACAAGGUACAUUUCCUGUACUCGAGACACCUUGUCUCAAAAAUCUGGGAUUACCAGUAUAUCCAUCACUUCGCCUCUGACUAGUGGCGUUAAAACCUCAGCUGGAAGAAUUAACUCUAGCUUCACUUCUUUCGAAGCUCUGAAUCUUUCUAUAUCCUUGAUAUGACGAAUCAUUAACUUUAUCGUCUUCUUUUGAUUCCCAUUCAUUUCUUAUUCUUCUUUAUUCUCGUUGCUCAUGUUCUCAGAGUCCUCAAGACUCAACAGCAUCUCGUAUAUUCCUGGUAAGAAGUACAAUGGAUAGUGGUCACCCAAAAUACCACUUCCCUUUUUGUCACCCAGCCUAAAACAACAUAACACCUCCACCAAAUUAACAACAAUAUCUGGAUGGAACGAGGCAAGUCUGAAAACUUUCUAUAAUAUCCCUCGAUCAUCACCUUCCUUGUCUCAUAUUUGUAAACUCUUGUUUACUACCAUCGAUAAAUGCCGGGGGAUAAACUUUUCCUUAAACAAGUCCUUAAAUAAUUCUCAAUCAACUGUUUCCUCCGGUGACAACAAUUAACAAUCCUGUUUCCACCAGGAUACAAAUUCAUACCCAAAACCAGGUAGUCGUCUCGACCCCUUGUCAGAAGGAAAUUUCCUUUAACUUGCAUAAUCUGAAACAUCUUUUCCAAACAGUUAAACCGUCACUUCGUUCCCUCAGGUUCAUUAUUUCAUAAGGUGAUUCAAAUUCGACUCAUAAUCCGUCUUAAAAUGUCCCUUUUUAUAAUAGACUGAAUCACCAUAAUAAUAGUUUCCCCUAAACCGCUAUAUUAGGGAGACUAAAUUCCUCUAACUAAGUGGCUUGCUACGAGGCGGUGUAGUUCUGACAGAAUUCACUAUAAACUUCUCAAGAUGUCCAAGAUUGCAACCAUGCUCUGAUACCAACUGACACACCCCGUCCCGAAGGAGGGCAUGCUGGCCGUCACGUGAGAGUGACGUAACCAUUUGCACAGUACGGAAGCUUUAAGAUACAAUUUAUAAGUUGAUACACCCGAAGGUGAGUCCUAAUUUUGUCCAAUCUGUCAGAACACCGUCGAAUUCCUCGUAGUCACCACACCUUUGUGAUUCCUGAACCUGGAGGGGCGCAAAACCAAAAUUGAGUGGGUCAGUAAAACAAUUCUUUUCAAAUCCAAUUUUUUCUCAAAGCAUUGUAACCCCUCUCCGUAAAACCUGUAUACUUUCCCAGAAAUGUAAAAUAUAAAUAUACAUAUAUAUUCUCAAAACUUCAAGUCGUUAACUCAACAUUUUCAUAACAAUUAUGUCAUGCCACAUCAUCUCAACAUUUCUCAUAUUAAUUAUGCCAUGCCACAUCAUCUCAACAGUAAUAAGGUAUGAAUGCAUCAACAUAAUCAUAUCAGGUGCAAGAAAGUAAUCAACCGUAGGCCCUCUAAUAGCCCUGUACGGUUGAACCUAGAGCUCAAAAUCUAUCACUCUCACUCUCUGCCGGAGUCACUCCGCGUGACCUGUACGGCCUUCUGCACAUAAGUUACGCUUUAGUGCUUUUCAUAAUCAUCUGUGCACAUAAUCUAAGGUCACCCACCAGUCGGAAUCUCACUAACACUCUCGCGACUGGCCUGUCGUACCCACUCCGCGUGGACUGUACGACUAGCAUCUACUUGGAUCCAAGACGAGCGUGCGAUGCGGUGAAUACUAUAAGCACUAAACUAUGGUGCAUGAUUUGAGCUCAAUAUACAUCAACAUCAUCAUAACAGAAAUAAAUACUCACAUGUGCGUCCACCGCACCAUUUCAUACAUAUGCAUCAUAAAUCAAUUCUUACCUGUGCGUCCACCGCACCAAUUCAUACAUAUGCAUUAUAAAUCAAUUCUUACCUGUGCGUCCACCGCACCAAUUCAUACAUAUGCAUCAUAUAUUAAUUCAUGCAUGGCAUUUCAAUUCACAUUUCUAUAUACUUUUCAUAUCAAUUCUAUGCAUGGUAUUUCACUUCCCGUUUUUCCACAUAACUCAUAUGCAUUUCAUUUUAAACAUAUUUUCAUUUCAAUUCAAUUUCUGGGAAACGUCAAGUAUAUAUAUAUACGGAAAACAAAACU